GAGAUGGCCCAAAGAAGUUGUGGAUGUUGCAUCCCUGGAAACAUUGAAGAACUUCUUGACACUUUCAAGUGGGGAAUGCUAUCAAGAAAUCCUGUGACCCUUCUUCCUGAAAGCCUUCUGCCCCUCCCAGGCAUUACAGCCUAGCGCUUUUAUUUUUGUGCCUCAUUUUUGCUGUUCCUGCUUUCCCUUCUGUACAUCACCAUGGCAUAGCACAGGUGCUCACCAGGCUGAUCUACAGGAUCCCAGGCAGAGAGAGACCAACAUCCUGAUGCAAAUACUCCGGCAGAAACGGGAAGCGUUAGAGAUGCAUUGUGAGUUCAGCCAGGCUCCCUCUUCUUAGGCAUCUGAUAAGGUGUGAAGAAAUAAAACUCUAUUCUUCAUCAUCAUCGUCAUCAUCACUUUUAUCUCAGCACAGCCUGCAGGUGUGUCUGGAGGUGUGCAGGACUCGUGGUGAUGUGUCAGCAGCCUCUGGCACCCUGCUCUGGGAGAGGCUGUGGGGAGCAGGCCCAGUCAGUCAUCCUGUGGGUGAUUAAAAAAGGCAAACUCACGUGUUUGGUGCUCCACACCUGCCUAUGGGCUAAUUAGAAUGCCCUAAUUAGAAUGACCUA